GGCGGCGUACCCAAAUGGUUAAGGGCAAGGAUUGCAAAUCCUUAAUUCCUGGUUCAAGUCCAGGCGCCGCCUCCA
rnacentral:tRNA from 1 species